rnacentral:rRNA from 1 species
UACAGAGGGUGCAAGCGUUGUUCGGAAUUACUGGGCGUAAAGCGCAUGUAGGCGGUUUAGUAAGUCUGGUGUGAAAGCCCUUGGCUCAACCAAGGAACUGCAUUUGAAACUGCUAAACUAGAGAAUCAGAGGGGAUGGCGGAAUUCCCGGUGUAGAGGUGGAAUUCGUAGAUAUCGGGAGGAACACCUGUGGCGAAGGCGGCCAUCUGGAGGAUUUCUGACGCUGAGAUGCGAAAGCGUGGGGAGCAAACAGG